UGGAAUUGCUAGUAAUCACAGGUCAGCAUACUGUGGUGAAUACGUUCCCGGGCCUUGUACACACCGCCCGUCACACCAUGAGAGUUGAGAAUACCCGAAGCCCAUGUCAAAGUGGUCGAAGGUAGGCUUGAUGAUUGGGGUGAAGUCGUAACAAGGUAUC
rnacentral:rRNA from 1 species